UACGUAGGGUGCGAGCGUUGUCCGGAAUUAUUGGGCGUAAAGAGCUUGUAGGCGGUUUGUCGCGUCUGCCGUGAAAAUUCGAGGCUCAACCUCGAACUUGCGGUGGGUACGGGCAGACUAGAGUGUGGUAGGGGAGACUGGAAUUCCUGGUGUAGCGGUGAAAUGCGCAGAUAUCAGGAGGAACACCGAUGGCGAAGGCAGGUCUCUGGGCCACUGCUGACGCUGAGAAGCGAAAGCAUGGGGAGCGAACAGG
rnacentral:rRNA from 1 species